UCUAUGUUUAUCUCGUUAAGUUUAUGUUUAUAUCACAAUGAGGGCGAAUGUGUAGCCAAAAUCUCAAAAUUUUAACUUUGAUAUUAAUCAAAUAUAAAUACCUAUCUAAAAAUUUUAUUCACUUCAUUAUUAUAUUAUUGUGAUUGUAAAUUAAUCUGAAAAAUAAUAUAUCAAUUUUGUUAUUUAUUAUUAUUAUUAUCUCUUAAACAAAAAUUGAACGCAACGAAUUUGAUGGAGAUUUUUCGUAUUAUUAGACGUUAUUGGGUUAUAACUUCUAUCCCUCUUUUGACUGCUACUUUUAUUAUCUUAGAUUUAAAUCGUACUCGAAAUUG